AGGACUCAGACGAACGCUGGCGGCGUGCCUAAUACAUGCAAGUCGAACGAACUCUGGUAUUGAUUGGUGCUUGCAUCAUGAUUUACAUUUGAGUGAGUGGCGAACUGGUGAGUAACACGUGGGAAACCUGCCCAGAAGCGGGGGAUAACACCUGGAAACAGAUGCUAAUACCGCAUAACAACUUGGACCGCAUGGUCCGAGUUUGAAAGAUGGCUUCGGCUAUCACUUUUGGAUGGUCCCGCGGCGUAUUAGCUAGAUGGUGGGGUAACGGCUCACCAUGGCAAUGAUACGUAGCCGACCUGAGAGGGUAAUCGGCCACAUUGGGACUGAGACACGGCCCAAACUCCUACGGGAGGCAGCAGUAGGGAAUCUUCCACAAUGGACGAAAGUCUGAUGGAGCAACGCCGCGUGAGUGAAGAAGGGUUUCGGCUCGUAAAACUCUGUUGUUAAAGAAGAACAUAUCUGAGAGUAACUGUUCAGGUAUUGACGGUAUUUAACCAGAAAGCCACGGCUAACUACGUGCCAGCAGCCGCGGUAAUACGUAGGUGGCAAGCGUUGUCCGGAUUUAUUGGGCGUAAAGCGAGCGCAGGCGGUUUUUUAAGUCUGAUGUGAAAGCCUUCGGCUCAACCGAAGAAGUGCAUCGGAAACUGGGAAACUUGAGUGCAGAAGAGGACAGUGGAACUCCAUGUGUAGCGGUGAAAUGCGUAGAUAUAUGGAAGAACACCAGUGGCGAAGGCGGCUGUCUGGUCUGUAACUGACGCUGAGGCUCGAAAGUAUGGGUAGCAAACAGGAUUAGAUACCCUGGUAGUCCAUACCGUAAACGAUGAAUGCUAAGUGUUGGAGGGUUUCCGCCCUUCAGUGCUGCAGCUAACGCAUUAAGCAUUCCGCCUGGGGAGUACGGCCGCAAGGCUGAAACUCAAAGGAAUUGACGGGGGCCCGCACAAGCGGUGGAGCAUGUGGUUUAAUUCGAAGCUACGCGAAGAACCUUACCAGGUCUUGACAUACUAUGCAAAUCUAAGAGAUUAGACGUUCCCUUCGGGGACAUGGAUACAGGUGGUGCAUGGUUGUCGUCAGCUCGUGUCGUGAGAUGUUGGGUUAAGUCCCGCAACGAGCGCAACCCUUAUUAUCAGUUGCCAGCAUUAAGUUGGGCACUCUGGUGAGACUGCCGGUGACAAACCGGAGGAAGGUGGGGAUGACGUCAAAUCAUCAUGCCCCUUAUGACCUGGGCUACACACGUGCUACAAUGGAUGGUACAACGAGUUGCGAACUCGCGAGAGUAAGCUAAUCUCUUAAAGCCAUUCUCAGUUCGGAUUGUAGGCUGCAACUCGCCUACAUGAAGUCGGAAUCGCUAGUAAUCGCGGAUCAGCAUGCCGCGGUGAAUACGUUCCCGGGCCUUGUACACACCGCCCGUCACACCAUGAGAGUUUGUAACACCCAAAGUCGGUGGGGUAACCUUUUAGGAACCAGCCGCCUAAGGUCGUA
rnacentral:rRNA from 1 species